rnacentral:lncRNA from 1 species
UGCACCUCCAGCCCUUUCCACUCAAAGUGCUCCAUGGUAGCAACACCUGUGUGUGGUGCAGAAGCUGUGGCUACACUGCUUUAUAACUCAUCUUUCUAUCUGACCUCUGGAGUCCAGUGAAAGACCAAAACUUUACUGCUGUCUAUGUUCCAUGUAGUAAUGGUGGGAGAACUAAAUGACACUGAAAAUUCUGGAAAUGAGGAGAAACAGACUAAAGCCACGGGCACCGGAUGAAUGAAGAGAGAGAAGAGUGCUUUACAUAUAUUGAAAACUUAGAGAAAAAAGCAAAUGUAGGGCAGAGGCAGAAGGCACCACCUCAAUCUGGGCCUCUCUGUUCUAAAUGAUCAGUUUCACUGUAAUCCUCAGAUCCUUUCAGUCACCAGUUGCUUCAGCAAUGUCAUCACCAACCUUUUUUGAAGACAGACCCAGGGGGCUGAUCUUGGGGGCCAACACAGACGUGGCACCCACUUCAUCCCCAGUACACCUUAAACGCCUCCGUCACUGCCUGUUGCACUGUCCUGAUGCUU